AGUUACACAAGGUUCUGAGAACAGCUGGAGAAAGAAGGUGACGUAAAAGGUCCAAUAGCACUGUAUUUCGAAGAGCAGAGGAGUUCUCCCCAUGUCUUGACCGACAUCAUCAGCUGCACUAAAACGGAUUACCAGGUCAUCAACAUCAUCGUCGCUCUGUGGUAGCAUAAAUGCCACAUUUCUCGACAGUAGAGCAGAUACCAGUUUUUACCCUGGCUGUCUGCAUUAAGGAUCCCCUUCCAAGUUAGCAAAGAAUAAACCAUAACCGAACAUGCAUCCGGAUCUAUCACCGCACUUACAUACGGAGGAAUGCAACAUUAUCAUUCAGCGUCUCAAACAGUGUCAUAGAGAACACAACUUCCUGAAGUUUGUUGGAAAAUGUAACGAUAUUGAUCGAGAGAUGAGACGGUGCUUAGAAGUGGAGUAUCAAAGAAGAACAGGCGGUCACCUGUCUUUUCAGACAGAUGGCCGCCGCUGACCACUGACCAUCUUCUUCAGCAGCCGCACGUCCUCCAGAAACUCCCCCACUUCAGAGCAUGUGGAUCAGAGGCAAGGAGGGGUUAAAGAAGAGGGGGCUUAUCCAGUCUCAAAAUGCUGGGAUCCUUCCCACAGACUUUGCUGCCAUCUGGCUCGGUCCAAGACAAAGAUCUCCCAGGAGUUGAUGUCAAUGUUGCUUUUCUUCAUGUUGGCUUUCAGCACAUCCUUGAAGCGCUUCUUCUAUUCUCCUCUGGUGUGUCUGCCCUGAUUGAGCUGGGAGAAGAAGACAUGCUUUGGGAGCCUGGCAUAUGACAUCUGAACUAUAUGACCAACCCAACGAAGCUAAAGGUUUGAUAGCUUUGAUGCUUGUGGUGUGAGCUUGUGAGAGGACAAUGAUGUUGGAGCAUCUGUCCUCUCACUUAUUAAGUAAGAUUUUAUGCAGGCAGUGUUGAUUUUAUGACUCCAGUGCUUUGUGGCGCCUCUUAUACAUUGUCCAUGUUUCAGCCCUGUAGAGUAAGACUGCACGGUAGACCAUGAGCGUGGUUUCAGUUUUGAUGUCGUAAUUCUCAAACACUCGCUUCCUCAGGUAGCCAUAAGCUGCAUCAGCAUAUUUCAGGCGAUGCUGGAUUUCUUCACCGAUGUCAGCCUUCUGUGAAAGAUAAAUUCCACAUUCAACAAGUGUUCUACAUUUUCCAGGCACUCUUCAUGAAUCCUAAUCCAUGGGGCUGGGGCGUGUGCAGUUGGAGCUUGCUGGUGGAGGAUUUUGGACUCCUGAAUGAUUUACAGAAUUGGAGGCCUUUGUCAAGUCAAAGAACACUAUGUAGUGAGGUUGAUGAUGUUUGCAACAUUUUUCUUGUAGUUGACGAGCUGUAGAAAUCACUUUAGCCUAAACCCACAUUGAGAUUUGGCAAGUAGCUCUUCAGCAAGUGUGAUAAAUCAAUUCAGAAGGGUUCUUGUAAUGAUCUUUACUGCAAUGGAAAGUAGGGAGGUGCAACUGUAAUUUGCACAGUUGGAUUUGUCCCCUUUCUUGACGGCUGUCACAAUCAUGGCAUCCUUGUUAUCUUAAGACCUCAUGGUUGGAUGCACAAGCACGUACAAAAGGCAUUUCUAAUUUCAACUUUGUGGUUUCUCUAGUUGUGUGGUAUAGAUCAGUGUAACUAGCAAACAAAUUCAGGCGAAGGAAUUUGACAAACAUGAUGCCAUUAAGAAAAAUCAAGAAGUUUCUUGUAGACUGCAGGAAUGAUGAAGGGUUUGAGGAAACACUGGUAGAUGCACGUAAACUUGCUGAGGAUUUGGAGAUAUCAGCACACUUGGAACCAGACCCAGUCCACAAUAGGAGAAAGAGGGAGCAGUGCACAUAUGAAGCAGACGAUGAGCUUAUUCAGAGCCCUAAGGAAAAAUUCAAAGUGAACUUUUAUUUUGCAGUUCUUGACACAGCAAUACUAUCAGUUGAAGAAAGAUUCACACAGAUGCAUCAAAUUCGUUCUGUGUUUGGCUUCCUUUAUGAUGUUCAGUUUGCAGAAUGGAGCAUCAAAGCAAAUUAUGGAACAUUGAUUGAAGCUAGAGCAAGCUUUAAAAUAUGGAGACUCCAAAGAUGCCGACAUUUCAGAUUUGUGCAGUGAAUUGCGAGCCAUUGCAAGAUGAGUUCCAAAGUGUGCAUCACCACAAGAUGUACUGAGCUUUUGUCCGCAAAAAUAAGCUGAGAGAUGGUGUCCCCAACACAUUUAUUGCUCUCUGCAUCCUCUUGACCCUCCCUGUUUCUGUGACCAGUAAUGAGUGAAGUUUUUCCAAGUUAAAGUUGAUCAAAACAUACAUUCAUUCCUCAAUGAUGCAAGAAAGACAUGUUGGACUAUCUGCCUUGUCAAUAGAAACUGAAAGCGCACAAAACAUUGACCUGAAGGAACAUGUUUCUACAUUUGCUAAACUGAGAUCAUGGAAGGUUAAAUUCUAAACUCUAAUAAUCAAAUUGGUUUCAGGAACACAUAGGAUUACAUCAUGUGAGCCAUAAUACACAUGUGCAUUUCUUCAAGUGCAUCUCCUGUGAAAAGUGUAGAACCAUGAGAAUGUGCAAAAAGUAACGUAAUAUUCUCCUUUCCUCAUGUAAAAUAAAUCUGUAACUUAU